GACGGAGGAUGCAGGCGUUAUCCGGAAUGAUUGGGCGUAAAGCGUCCGCAGGUGGCAGUUCAAGUCUGCUGUCAAAGACCGGGGCUCAACCUCGGAAAGGCAGUGGAAACUGAACAGCUAGAGUAUGGUAGGGGCAGAGGGAAUUCCUGGUGUAGCGGUGAAAUGCGUAGAGAUCAGGAGGAACACCGAUGGCGAAGGCAGGUCUCUGGGCCAUUACUGACGCUGAGAAGCGAAAGCAUGGGGAGCAAACAGG
rnacentral:rRNA from 1 species